CCCAGGAAGCGCAUCAAAGUGGAGGAGAAAGAAACAUCAGGCGGCAUCUGUCUCCACGUGGACAAAAACCAUGUCUCAGUGGAGUUCUGCACUAAGUGUGCAGAGAACGCAAGCGCAACGCUCAAAAUUUUUCUUCUAGGUAAUGGUUGAUCUACCAUGCGGGAUGAAUGGCUUUGAGAACACCUUUGCCUGCUUGACUCCAUGUGGAUUCUGCUGUUGGAAGUUGAAGAGCCGGGACAAGCUGCUGCCAUCGUGGCCUGGUUUAUUUUUUGAAAGCCCACGAACUUCUGAGAGGCGUUUCCUGAACACUCAAAGUGUUGAGCCAGCUUCCAAACCUCCAAGCUUCUUUGAGGGCGGCAUGAACCCUAGGCCUGUGCGCCAUCUACCAAAGCAACAAGCUGCCUUUGGUCAAUCGUGGGGCCUCCAAGGCACGUCAGUUCUGUUUGAUGUUGCAUUACGUCAAUGCGAAAUCAUAAACUUGGUUUGGUUCAGCCCAUCUUGGCUUUGAAGUCUUGUUGAUCCAGGAUGGGAUCUUUUCCCGCAGGACGUAGAGCCUGAUCUGAAGACAUCAGCAGAACGCCCCUCAUCUCAUGAGCAGACAUUAAUGGCAAUGAUGGAUAUGCAAGAACCAGAUUAAAAUGUAUUCAGCAAAGAUUUCAACAUAAUUAUGCUGUAAUUAUUAUUAUAAUAUUAUAAGUAAAAUAAAAAAUGUAUAUUUAUAAAUACUUACUAACACAUCUUCUUGAUCUUUUAUUAACCUAUCAUCUUAGAAUUAACAACAUUGAAGGAAGAGGCAGGCCGCCCAUCCCAUGUUGAUGGAAGUAUUCCUCCAGCCGCAAUCCCCUACUGUUGAUCCAAGAGCUGAGGGAAAUGUACUAACCUACCACCCAAUGGUUAAAAACAAACACCAUAAGGCAGUCCGCUGUGCUGUACCAACAGGGAACCUCAUUAGCCAACAACUUAAGUCUUGCACAACUCGCAGGUAAAUGGCUAGUUCUUACAUGAUUAUACAGCCAUAAGGUACAUAACAUAUCAAGUAUCAUUACACACACAAAUAAAAAUAGGUGAGUGUCGGUAUACAGCAUCUAUAUGCCAGUGACGUUACACCUGCCCUGAAUAAUUUGCUAUUCUCCUAACCUGAAGACCAAGAAUGGUGAUCGGUUCACUGAGAUGAAACAGAACAGACUUAUAAGCAGACUAGUGUAUUAUAAAAGUACCAAAUUAAUCUAUUUUUGAAGAAAGGUGGAGCUCUAGUUUACUUAACAGUUCAUUCAUCUUUUUACCAGUUUGUUUAGGUUAACUGUUGAUAUUGUUUAUGUCCAGAUGUAAAACAGCUAUGAUCUUAAGUCCAACUCACCUCCUCCCGCCGUGUUGACUGGUUCCAUUGACAUCCAUUAUAUUAGAAACCAAUACAAAAACAAAGUACGUCUAUGUGUGUGCAAACUUUCCUGGCUAGACGGCUUUCCCCAAAAGUGCCCACAAAUGGACAAAUCCCAAACGUUUAAUUCUGUGUUUACAUUCCACUGCACAUUCUCACAUACUCCACGGCUGAGGUGGCAGUUAGAUUCCUAUGUGAAUAUAGGCCUUCAGGCAGUUCUAUGUCAAUGUGUAGUAAGAGUACUAUGUUAUCACUGUUUGAAGAUAGCCACUGCCUUCAGGCAGUGUGAUAAUUCAGAGUGCAGAACAAUAUUUUAAAGUUGCCAGGGUAAGUCUAGGAGAGGUGUUUACUGAUUGAGUCAAAAAGAGAUCCCAAGGUAAAAAAGAAAGAAAGCUGCAGCUACUGCCAUGGUUCAGAAGUGUCACAUAAAUCACUGCUUGAACAGCCUACUAUGGGCAUGGUUGAACACAUUUACAAAGUGUGUCGGUAUAGAAAUAGUUUAUAGACAGUAUAGAAGACUUUUUCCGGUUUGUUAAAAGUCCAGGUUCAUUGUCUAAUGUCGCGUUCCGACUGAGGGACUUCUUGGAAAGCGUCUCAGUGUUAUGCCUACGCCCAAUCACUGAGGUCCCUUCGGCGUCCGUUCCAUACAGGAACCUUUGUAGCGGCUACCCAACGCUCAAAACAGACCUACGCGGUAACAGAGAAAGCGUCGCUGUGUUAAGGAAUUCACAUUAGCGAAAUGCAAUGCAACGUCUUAGACGAGAGCAAAUGUUAAGCCUGUUUUUCUGCAAUGUUAAAGUGAGCUUUCGUUUGACAUAUUUCACCACAAUUUCUACUCAAUGUUAUAUCUCAUGUCGAUGACCCGCCUCGACCGACUAGUCGACGCUGAUCCAAUCAGCAUCGACUAGUUAGGGGCGGCUCAGAAAGCUCCUUCCCCGAGGCAGGUACUACCUGGGCAACUAUCUGGGCCGCUGAACAGAGAAGUUGGGCAGAUCCUUUCUCCCAAGCCACCCCCAUAGCGGCUCACUAGAGGGAAAAGUCGAGAAAAAAAUAAAGUAGAGGAAGAGUCGGAACACGCCAUAUGUUGGAAUGUAAAUCAGCCAUGAUUUCUGUUCUCUUGUGGAACCAAAGUGUCACCAGAGAGACUCAUCACAGCGAUAUGGGAGCUAACCUAACCUGCCAUAUACCAGUUUGGCCCCAGGUUCACAGCAUG
rnacentral:lncRNA from 1 species